rnacentral:rRNA from 1 species
AGCAGCCGCGGUAAUUCCAGCUCCAAUAGCGUAUAUUAAAGUUGCUGCAGUUAAAAAGCUCGUAGUUGAAUUUCGGGACUAAUAUGUCGGUCGUGCCUCGGUACGUACUGGCUUAUUGGUUUCUCCUUUCUGAAGAACCAUGAUGUCAUUUAUUUGGUGUCGUGGGGAAUCAGGACUGUUACUUUGAAAAAUUAGAGUGUUUAAAGCAGGCUCACGCUUGAAUACAUUAGCAUGGAAUAAUGAAAUAGGACGUUUGAUUCUAUUUUGUUGGUUUCUAGGAUCGACGUAAUGAUUAAUAGGGAUAGUUGGGGGCAUUAGUAUUCAAUUGUCAGAGGUGAAAUUCUUGGAUUUUAUUGAAGACUAACUACUGCGAAAGCAUUUGCCAAGGAUGUUUUCAUUAAUCAAGAACGAAAGUUAGGGGAUCGAAGACGAUCAGAUACCGUCGUAGUCUUAACCAUAAACUA